GACAGAGGGGGCAAGCGUUGCUCGGAAUUACUGGGCGUAAAGGGCGCGUAGGCGGGAUGGCAAGUCGGUCGUGAAAUCCCUCGGCUCAACUGAGGAUCGUCGAUCGAUACUGCCGUUCUUGAGGAUUGCAGAGGAGACUGGAAUUCCCGGUGUAGCGGUGAAAUGUGUAGAGAUGUGGAGGAACACCGAUGGCGAAGGCAGCCUCCUGGGCCAGCACUGACGCUCAUGCACGAAAGCGUGGGGAGCAAACAGG
rnacentral:rRNA from 1 species